UCUGCGCCCCGACUUGAGUGGAACUCUUUUUUGUGCAGCGCAGCGAAACAAAAAAAGUGGGAACGGAAGGCGGAUAAAGGC
rnacentral:misc_RNA from 1 species